rnacentral:tRNA from 1 species
GGCGGACGUGGGCAAGUGGAUUAARGCAGUAA